CUUUGUUGAAUUUGAAUAUUCAUUUGGUAUGUUUCGUCUCACUUUUACUGUCUUUUGUUGAAUUUGAAUAUUCAUUUGGUAUGUUUCGUCUCACUUUUACUGUCUUUUGUUGAGUUUGAAUAUUCAUUUGGUAUGUUUCGUCUCACUUUUACUGUCUUUUGUUGAGUUUGAAUAUUCAUUUGGUAUGUUUCGUCUCACUUUUACUGUCUUU
rnacentral:lncRNA from 1 species